AUAGUCCAUCAUGGCCGACCAAGAAGAUGUUCAAACAACCAAGAGAUAUGUUAGUCCAAAGACAGAAUGAGGAGCGAACUUUUACCACUUAUUUGUGUAGAAUAGUAUGGUACCAGGGGUGCAGCUGACUCUGAUUCCCGGCUUCUUCUAAUGAAAAAAGGCAGAUGAGGCACUGGAAUCCGAAUGAAAUCAAAAAUGCCAUUGUAUGAGGAUUGACCUGCAAUGCAUGGAAAUCAUCUAACACAACUGCAACGCCUACCUUGGAAAAAUGAGUGCAAGAUGGAAACAAAGCGUUCAGUGGAACAUCUUGUCAUCUCAAAUAUUUGAUGACUUACAUACUGAUGUGAAGUUGAAGAUAAAAGUCAUCUGUUGGUCCGUGAUUAUUAAAUA